rnacentral:rRNA from 1 species
CUUAACACAUGCAAGUCGAGCGAGAAAGGGGCUUCGGCUCCGAGUAAAGCGGCGGACGGGUGCGUAACACGUGGAUAAUCUGCCUCGUGGCGGGGGACAACAGUCCGAAAGGACUGCUAAUACCGCAUGUCAGGUCGGAAACUCCGGUUUCUGACGAAAAAGAGGGCGCCCGCAAGGGGCUCUCACCACGAGAUGAGUCCGCGUCCCAUCAGUUAGUUGGCGGUGUAAUAGACCACCAAGGCUUAGACGGGUAGCUGGUCUGAGAGGAUGACCAGCCACACUGGGACUGAGACACGGCCCAGACUCCUACGGGAGGCAGCAGUGGGGAAUAUUGGACAAUGGGCGAAAGCCUGAUCCAGCCAUGCCGCGUGAGUGAUGAAGGCCUUCGGGUCGUAAAGCUCUGUGGGGAGGGACGAAAAAGCGUGACCUAAUACGUCUCGCCUUGACGGUACCUCCUUAGCAAGCACCGGCUAACUCCGUGCCAGCAGCCGCGGUAAUACGGAGGGUGCAAACGUUGCUCGGAAUUA